AAGUCAUUCCCUGCAUACUUUGAGUACAAAACAGUGUUCCCUGGGGAGGCGGAUACAGGUUUCCGCUUGCCUUCCUCAUCAAGAGGUCCGGGUCCAACUGCUAUUACUGUGCCAAUGGAAGGUUUCUCUUUGGCUGCCUCUGUCAGCAGCAAGCCUCCUGCAGUCUUCUCCUCAGCUUCAGCUACCUUUAUAAAUACUCUAUCAUUCAAAGGCUUGAGAUCCUUGAUAUCAUCUGUCUCCAGUAUACCAACAAUAUCAUCCUCCUUCAAUAUAAGAUG
rnacentral:misc_RNA from 1 species